rnacentral:lncRNA from 1 species
GUGGUGGAGAGUAGUGGUGUACUGGAGGAGGAGGAGGUGAUUUGUACACGUACUUUUCCUUUGGUGGUGGUGGAGAGUGGUAAACCGGAGGAGGAGAGUAGUGCUUAACCGGAGGAGGAGGGGACUUGUAUACGUAAUGUUUCUUUGGUGGUGGUGGGGAAUGGUAGACUGGAGGGGGAGAGUAGUGCUUAACCGGAGGAGGAGGGGACUUGUAUACGUAAUGUUUCUUUGGUGGUGGUGGGGAAUGGUAAACUGGAGGGGGAGAGUAGUGCUUCACCGGUGGUGGUGGAGAUUUGUACACGUAGUGUUUCUUUGGUGGGGGUGGGGAAUGGUAAACCGGAGGAGGAGAGUAGUGCUUAACUGGAGGAGGAGGAGAUUUGUACACGUAGUGUUUCUUUGGUGGUGGUGGGGAAUGGUAAACCGGAGGAGGAGAGUAGUGCUUAACCGGAGGAGGAGGAGAUUUGUACACGUAGUGUUUCUUUGGGGGUGGUGGGGAAUGGUAAACCGGAGGAGGUGAGUAGUGCUUCACCGGUGGUGGUGGAGAUUUGUAGACGUAAUGCUUUUUAGGUGGGGGUGGGGAAUGGUAAACCGGAGGGGGAGAGUAGUGCUUAACCGGAGGAGGAGGAGACUUGUAAACGUAAUGUUUUUUUGGUGGUGGUGGUGAGUGGUAAACCGGAGGGGGAGAGUAGUGCUUAACCGGAGGAGGAGGAGACUUGUAUACGUAAUGUUUCUUUGGUGGUGGUGGUGAGUGGUAAACCGGUGGGGGAGAGUAGUGCUUGACUGGAGGAGGGGGAGAUUUGUACACGUAGUGCUUCUUGGGUGGUGGUGGAGAGUGGUAAACCGGAGGAGGAGAGUAGUGCUUAACCGGAGGAGGGGGAGAUUUGUAAACGUAGUGCUUCUUUGGUGGUGGUGGGGAGUGAUAAACCGGUGGGGGAGAGUAGUGCUUGACCGGAGGAGGAGGAGAUUUGUACACGUAGUGUUUCUUUGGUGGGGGUGGGGAAUGGUAAACCGGAG